GGGCCCUUAGCUCAGAAGUAGAGCGCCUCCCUCGCACGGAGGAGGCCGCGGGUGCGAAUCCCGCAGGGUCCA
rnacentral:tRNA from 1 species